AGUCGUAACAAGGUUUUCCUUCCGGUUAAAAAAUUUAGCUGCCGAAGCCUUUCACGCCGACUUAAAAAUGCGUGGAGUCUUGCCUUUUCAAGGUGAAGACAAUACCGCUGAAAUGCUGUGAUCACGUAAGUGUACCAGCAGCCUAACAUUACUUAGGCCCACAGAUCAAGUGGCGGUGGUCGAUAGCUAAAGCUAGAGACUAUAAUAUGACCGGUCCUAACCUUAAACGGUUAAGAAUCCAUGUUCCGUAGGUGAACCUGCGGAAGGAUCAUUACUGAGUUAGGGUCUUCCAGGCCUGACCUUCAACCCUUUGUAUAACUACCAUGUUGCUUUGGCGGGCCCGUCUUCAACCGGACCGUCGGAGGUCUUCGACCUCUGGCCAGCGCUUGCCAGUAGCCCUUAACGAAACUCUUUUAACCAUGUGAAAUCUGAAAAUAAUUAAAUAAACUAAAACUUUCAACAACGGAUCUCUUGGUUCUGGCAUCGAUGAAGAACGCAGCGAAAUGCGAUAAGUAAUGCGAAUUGCAGAAUUCAGUGAGUCAUCGAAUCUUUGAACGCACAUUGCGCCCUUUAGUAUUCUGAAGGGCAUGCCUGUUCGAGCGUCAUUAUUAGUAAAUCAAGCCUGGCUUGCUGUUGGACCUUUUGUCGUUAAAAGACAGGUCCUAAAGAUAAUGACGGCGUCAGUUGGACCCUAGAUGCAACGAGCUUUAACUAGCACGCGUCUUGGUUGGUCCUUUUGACCCGGUCUUUUUUAACCAAUUUUUCAAGGUUGACCUCGGAUCAGGUAGGAAUACCCGCUGAACUUAAGCAUAUCAAUAAGCGGAGGAAAAGAAACCAACAGGGAUUACCUCAGUAACGGCGAGUGAAGCGGUAAUAGCUCAAAUUUGAAAUCUGGCUCNNCAGGGUCCGAGUUGUAAUUUGUAGAGGAUGUUUCGGGCACAGUUACGGUUUAAAUUUCUUGGAACAGAAUGUCAUAGAGGGUGAGAGUCCCGUCUUGAACCGAUUACUUCGUCCAUGUGAAACUCCUUCGACGAGUCGAGUUGUUUGGGAAUGCAGCUCAAAAUGGGUGGUAAAUUUCAUCUAAAGCUAAAUAUUGGCCAGAGACCGAUAGCGCACAAGUAGAGUGAUCGAAAGAUGAAAAGCACUUUGAAAAGAGAGUUAAACAGUAUGUGAAAUUGUUGAAAGGGAAGCGCUUGUAAUCAGACUUGAGCUUAACAGUUCCCCCUUCGUUCUCGUUGGGUUAUUCUGUUCUGUCCAGGCCAACAUCAGUUCGAGUGGUUGGUUAAAGACUUUAGGAAUGUAUCUACCCCUCGGGGUCGACUUAUAGCCUAGAGUGUCAUGCAGCCUACUUGGACUGAGGAACGCGCUUCGGCUCGGAUGUUGGCGUAAUGGUUAUAAGCGACCCGUCUUGAAACACGGACCAAAUCGGCGGCUAAGAAACAAGGGCGAAU
rnacentral:rRNA from 1 species